rnacentral:lncRNA from 1 species
AUGCUGCGGCGCGGGCAGCUACAGACGGGCACAGCCCGCCCGUCCCGACUAAACGCUGCUCAGCCGCCCCUGUCCGCGCCCGGGGCGGGUCCGCCACAGGAUCCGCAGGUGUGCGCGGCGGUGCCCGCCCGGCCCCGGCAGCGGGGGCGCGUCCCGCACCGCGGGGAGAGCGCCCAUCCCCGCCGCACCGCGCCGCAGCGCGCAGCUCGCGUCCCGAACCGACGCUCCUCACACCGCCAAAAGUUUCAGCCGCCGGCGUGCGGGGCCGACCCCCCCCAUGCCCGUCUUGCCCCGCUUUAUCUCCCGACAGCCGCUCGCCGUCCCCGGAGCGCGGCCGCGGCGGGCCCCUGCGGCAGGAGCGGGCUCCCCCCCGCCCCGCACACCCUCCGGCGGCGGCAGGGGCGGGCAGGGCCGCAGCACUGCCGCCCCCCGGCGGGCACAGAGUCCCCUCCCCGCGCCGCGCCCUGCCCGCACCUGCGGCGCCGAGGGAGGCGGGGAGCGCGGCAGGGAGCGCCCCGUCCUGCCCCGCCGCCCCCGGGGACGGGGGCGCACGGCCGCCAUGUGAGAGCAGCGGGGCCCGCGGCGGAGCCCGUCCCCGGGGCGGCGGGGCCGGACCGCCUGUGGCCGCCGUGCCGCGCUGCGGGCUCGGCAGGUCUGCAGAGGCGAGCGGGCAGCAACAAGCCGCCGCCGGCCGCCCGCCCGCGGCCCCGCCAUGGGGGCCGGGCGCGGGGCGAGGCUCGCCGCCCCGAGCCGCCGCCGGGGCUGAGCGCGGCGUCAGCGCAGGUACGGACGGCGGGAGGCAGGGAGGGAGGGAGGCGUCGCGCCGGGCCACGGAGGAGGCGGCCGGGCUGGGGAAGGGGCUGGCCCGGCUCCCGCCCAGCCCCACCGGGAGAGGAUCGGGCGGCGCUGCCCGGCCCUCCGGAAAGUUUGGGCGGGCAGCGCGGAGCCCCGGGUCCCCCGCGGCGGCCGGGCCGGGCCGGGCCGGGCAGCGCUGCCGGGCGGGCGGAGCGCGGUGCCCCGCCGAGGGCCGGGGAGGCGGGCGGGCAGAGAGAGAGGCUUUUGAAUGGCUUUGGGAAGCGGUACCGCGGAGCUGGGGUCGUGCCGGCAGGCUGCAGCGGCAGUGCUUGA